rnacentral:rRNA from 1 species
AGCGGAGGAAAAGAAACCAACAGGGAUUGCCUUAGUAGCGGCGAGUGAACCGGCAAAAGCUCAAAUUUGAAAUCUGGCACCUUCGGUGUCCGAGUUGUAAUUUGAAGAUUGUAACCUUGGGGUUGGCUCUUGUCUAUGUUUCUUGGAACAGGACGUCACAGAGGGUGAGAAUCCCGUGCGAUGAGAUGCCCAAUCCUAUGUAAGGUGCUUUCGAAGAGUCGAGUUGUUUGGGAAUGCAGCUCUAAGUGGGUGGUAAAUUCCAUCUAAAGCUAAAUAUUGGCGAGAGACCGAUAGCGAACAAGUACAGUGAUGGAAAGAUGAAAAGAACUUUGAAAAGAGAGUGAAAAAGUACGUGAAAUUGUUGAAAGGGAAGGGUUUGAGAUCAGACUCGAUAUUUUGUGAGCCUUGCCUUCGUGGCGGGGUGACCCGCAGCUUAUCGGGCCAGCAUCGGUUUGGGCGGUAGGAUAAUGGCGUAGGAAUGUGACUUUGCUUCGGUGAAGUGUUAUAGCCUGCGUUGAUGCUGCCUGCCUAGACCGAGGACUGCGAUUUUAUCAAGGAUGCUGGCAUAAUGAUCCCAAACCGCCCGUCUUGAANNACGGACCA